rnacentral:misc_RNA from 1 species
AUAUAUAUCAACCCUCUUCUUUUUUGUUGAGUGGUUUUGGAUGUGGGGGUUUUGCUGGCCUCUUAAAGGGUCAGCUCUCCUGAAAUGCAUUAGCAGAACAAACCUGUUCAUUGGUGUGAUAACUAUCUACGCUAUUGAAUCAUGGGAGACAGUUCAGCUUUCUAACAGUCUUUGGACAAUUUUAUCAUUU